rnacentral:rRNA from 1 species
CAGCCGCCGCGGUAAUACGGAGGGAGCUAGCGUUAUUCGGAAUUACUGGGCGUAAAGCGCACGUAGGCGGCUUUGUAAGUUAGAGGUGAAAGCCUGGUGCUCAACACCAGAACUGCCUUUGAUACUGCAUCGCUUGAAUCCAGGAGAGGUGGGUGGAAUUCCGAGUGUAGAGGUGAAAUUCGUAGAUAUUCGGAAGAACACCAGUGGCGAAGGCGGCUUACUGGCUCAUUCUAGACGCUGAGGUGCGAAAGCGUGGGGAGCAAACAGGAUUAGAUACCCGGGUAGUCCCUGUCUCUUAUAC